ACUCAUGGGACAUAAUCUCGGUCACCUGAUCUCGAGUGAUUUUCUCUCUUCAGACGCAGAUCUGAGGCGUUCUUUUGGCUAACGUUAUAGUCAUCACCGCUGGCUACUAUACCUACGGGGUGAUGUUAGUGCUCAUCGUACUGUUGUUACGGCAGAACGUGAAAUGUGAGAGACAAAUACUCGGACAUCCGGGAUCAUAUCUCGGUCAGUCGCUGUCAUCGCGUUUCUACAAGACGAAUUGAGACGUUAGUCAUGUCUGUUGAAAGGGCGGUGGGAAAGGUGAUCGACCUAAUCUCGGUCACAGUAUGAGCUCACUUCUUGGGUUCUACAGCUUUCAGAUUGAUCAUCAUGGAGAUAAACAUUGAAUCUAUUCUGGCACAAGUUGAAUGUCACAAGAGUAUGCCAGGACUCUGCAUACUUGUAAACUGUGUACAUACUACGAUCUUGUUGAUUGUAAGAUUUUAGCUACAUCAC